AUGAACGCUAGCUACAGGCUUAACACAUGCAAGUCGAGGGGCAUCAGGGUGUAGCAAUACACCGCUGGCGACCGGCGCACGGGUGAGUAACACGUAUCCAACCUGCCCUUUACUCGGGGAUAGCCUUUCGAAAGAAAGAUUAAUACCCGAUGGCAUAACAUGACCUCCUGGUUUUGUUAUUAAAGAAUUUCGGUAGAGGAUGGGGAUGCGUUCCAUUAGGCAGUUGGCGGGGUAACGGCCCACCAAACCUUCGAUGGAUAGGGGUUCUGAGAGGAAGGUCCCCCACAUUGGAACUGAGACACGGUCCAAACUCCUACGGGAGGCAGCAGUGAGGAAUAUUGGUCAAUGGGCGAGAGCCUGAACCAGCCAAGUAGCGUGAAGGAUGACCGCCCUAUGGGUUGUAAACUUCUUUUAUAUGGGAAUAAAGGGUGCCACGUGUGGCAUUUUGUAUGUACCAUAUGAAUAAGGAUCGGCUAACUCCGUGCCAGCAGCCGCGGUAAUACGGAGGAUCCGAGCGUUAUCCGGAUUUAUUGGGUUUAAAGGGAGCGUAGGUGGACAUGUAAGUCAGUUGUGAAAGUUUGCGGCUCAACCGUAAAAUUGCAGUUGAUACUGCGUGUCUUGAGUACAGUAGAGGUGGGCGGAAUUCGUGGUGUAGCGGUGAAAUGCUUAGAUAUCACGAAGAACUCCGAUUGCGAAGGCAGCUCACUGGACUGCAACUGACACUGAUGCUCGAAAGUGUGGGUAUCAAACAGGAUUAGAUACCCUGGUAGUCCACACAGUAAACGAUGAAUACUCGCUGUUUGCGAUAUACAGUAAGCGGCCAAGCGAAAGCAUUAAGUAUUCCACCUGGGGAGUACGCCGGCAACGGUGAAACUCAAAGGAAUUGACGGGGGCCCGCACAAGCGGAGGAACAUGUGGUUUAAUUCGAUGAUACGCGAGGAACCUUACCCGGGCUGAAAUUGCAAAUGAAUAUGCCGGAAACGGCAUAGCCGCAAGGCAUUUGUGAAGGUGCUGCAUGGUUGUCGUCAGCUCGUGCCGUGAGGUGUCGGCUUAAGUGCCAUAACGAGCGCAACCCUUAUCUUCAGUUACUAACAGGUUAUGCUGAGGACUCUGGAGAGACUGCCGUCGUAAGAUGUGAGGAAGGUGGGGAUGACGUCAAAUCAGCACGGCCCUUACGUCCGGGGCUACACACGUGUUACAAUGGGGGGUACAGAAGGCCGCUACACAGCGAUGUGAUGCCAAUCCCUAAAGCCCCUCUCAGUUCGGAUCGAAGUCUGCAACCCGACUUCGUGAAGCUGGAUUCGCUAGUAAUCGCGCAUCAGCCACGGCGCGGUGAAUACGUUCCCGGGCCUUGUACACACCGCCCGUCAAGCCAUGGGAGCCGGGGGUACCUGAAGUACGUAACCGCAAGGAGCGUCCUAGGGUAAAACUGGUGACUGGGGCU
rnacentral:rRNA from 1 species